UGAGUAACCUGCCCUUAACUCUGGGAUAAGCCUGGGAAACUGGGUCUAAUACCGGAUAUGACUCCUCAUCGCAUGGUGGGGGGUGGAAAGCUUUUUGUGGUUUUGGAUGGACUCGCGGCCUAUCAGCUUGUUGGUGAGGUAAUGGCUCACCAAGGCGACGACGGGUAGCCGGCCUGAGAGGGUGACCGGCCACACUGGGACUGAGACACGGCCCAGACCUCCCGUACGGGGAGGCCAG
rnacentral:rRNA from 1 species